CCUACGGGAGGCAGCAGUCGGGAAUCUUGCGCAAUGGGCGAAAGCCUGAUGCAGCGACGCCGCGUGAGGGAUGAAGGUCUUCGGAUCGUAAAACUCUGUCAGCAGGGAAGAACGGUCACUGUGCUAAUCAGCAGUGAAUUGACGGUACCUGCAAAGGAAGCACCGGCUAACUCCGUGCCAGCAGCCGCGGUAAUACGGAGGGUGCGAGCGUUAAUCGGAAUUACUGGGCGUAACGCGCUCGUAGGCGGUAUGUCAAGUCAAGGGUGAAAUCCCCGCGCUCAACGUGGGAACUGCCUUUGAAACUGGCAAACUUGAGUGUGUGAGGGGAUAGUGGAAUUCCAGGUGUAGGAGUGAAAUCCGUAGAUAUCUGGAGGAACAUCAGUGGCGAAGGCGACUAUCUGGCACAUAACUGACGCUGAGGAGCGAAAGCGUGGGUAGCAAACAGGAUUAGAUACCCGGGUAGUC
rnacentral:rRNA from 1 species